UACAGAGGGGGCAAGCGUUAUUCGGAAUUAUUGGGCGUAAAGGGCGCGUAGGCGGCCUGGCAAGUGGAAGGUGAAAUCCCUCGGCUUAACCGAGGAACUGCCCUCCAAACUGCUUGGCUUGAGUCCGGGAGAGGUGAGUGGAAUUCCCAGUGUAGCGGUGAAAUUCGUAGAUAUUGGGAAGAACACCGGUGGCGAAGGCGGCUCACUGGCUCAUUACUGACGCUCAGGCGCGAUAGCGUGGGGAUCAAACAGG
rnacentral:rRNA from 1 species